AUUGAACGCUGGCGGCAUGCUUUACACAUGCAAGUCGAACGGUAACAGGCCGCAAGGUGCUGACGAGUGGCGAACGGGUGAGUAAUGCAUCGGAACGUGCCCAGUCGUGGGGGAUAACGCAGCGAAAGCUGCGCUAAUACCGCAUACGAUCUGUGGAUGAAAGCGGGGGACCGAAAGGCCUCGCGCGAUUGGAGCGGCCGAUGGCAGAUUAGGUAGUUGGUGGGGUAAAGGCCCACCAAGCCAACGAUCUGUAGCUGGUCUGAGAGGACGACCAGCCACACUGGGACUGAGACACGGCCCAGACUCCUACGGGAGGCAGUAGUGGGGAAUUUUGGACAAUGGGCGCAAGCCUGAUCCAGCAAUGCCGCGUGCAGGAAGAAGGCCUUCGGGUUGUAAACUGCUUUUGUACGGAACGAAACGGCUCUGGUUAAUACCUGGGGCUAAUGACGGUACCGUAAGAAUAAGCACCGGCUAACUACGUGCCAGCCGCCGCGGUAA
rnacentral:rRNA from 1 species